UACAGAGGUCUCAAGCGUUGUUCGGAUUCAUUGGGCGUAAAGGGUGCGUAGGCGGCGCGGUAAGUCGGGUGUGAAAUUUCGAGGCUUAACUUCGAAACUGCAUUCGAUACUGCCGUGCUUGAGGACUGGAGAGGAGACUGGAAUUUACGGUGUAGCGGUGAAAUGCGUAGAUAUCGGAAAGAACAUCGGUGGCGAAGGCGGCUUUCUGGACUCAUAUUGACGCUGAGGCGCGAAAGCAUGGGGAGCAAACAGG
rnacentral:rRNA from 1 species